CAGGUGAAACCACGCACAAACCUAAAGAUUCUAUCCCUCGACUGCUGGCCGCUUUGGGCAAACACACUCAUAAGAAGAAAGUGGACCUGGCCAGUCUCCAGUAAUGGAGACGGACAUGAACUCCUGCAGCUUCUCUACAGCUGUUCUGUUUUUGCUUAACCAUUCGCAUUUUUGGACACAAUAAUCAAUCAUUGCAUUAGCUUAGCAUUGUGAAUACCAAAUCUGUAUACUCAAUGCUAAUGCUGUAGCUCCCAAGGCUAAAUGUAGGGUCAAUCCUAAAUGCUACAAUGCUACAUUUCUUUUAAUAUUCAGUUUAUUCAUUUACGAAAACUGUUACAUUUAAGUAUUUUGUUUUCAUUAUUUUGUGCCUGGCCUCUAGACAUAUUAUUAUUUUCAUUAUUUGUGAUCAUAUUUAAGGAUCAUUGUUGGAGGGAGCCUAUAACUUAAAAUGUUCAUUGCCAAUGACCUUUGCUAUGUAACUGUUGCCAAUAUGAUUAUUAAAGAACCUUAAGAUGAA